GACGAACGCUGGCGGCGUGCCUAAUACAUGCAAGUAGAACGCUGAAGGAGGAGCUUGCUUCUCUGGAUGAGUUGCGAACGGGUGAGUAACGCGUAGGUAACCUGCCUGGUAGCGGGGGAUAACUAUUGGAAACGAUAGCUAAUACCGCAUAAUAUUGACUAUUGCAUGAUAGUCAGUUGAAAGGUGCAACUGCACCACUGCCAGAUGGACCUGCGUUGUAUUAGCUAGUUGGUGGGGUAACGGCUCACCAAGGCGACGAUACAUAGCCGACCUGAGAGGGUGAUCGGCCACACUGGGACUGAGACACGGCCCAGACUCCUACGGGAGGCAGCAGUAGGGAAUCUUCGGCAAUGGACGGAAGUCUGACCGAGCAACGCCGCGUGAGUGAAGAAGGUUUUCGGAUCGUAAAGCUCUGUUGUAAGAGAAGAACGAGUGUGAGAGUGGAAAGCUCACACUGUGACGGUAUCUUACCAGAAAGGGACGGCUAACUACGUG
rnacentral:rRNA from 1 species